CCUACUGGUGGCAGCAGUGAGGAAUAUUGGUCAAUGGGCGGAAGCCUGAACCAGCCAAGUCGCGUGAGGGAAUAAGGCCCUACGGGUCGUAAACCUCUUUUGCCGGGGAGCAAGGGCGGGGACGUGUCCCGGCCCGGAGAGUCCCCGGAGAAAAAGCAUCGGCGAACUCCGUGCCAGCAGCCGCGGUAAUACGGGGGAUGCGGGCGUUAUCCGGAUUUAUUGGGUUUAAAGGGUGCGUAGGCGGGGUUUUAAGUCAGCGGUAAAAAUUCGGGGCUCAAACCCGUCCGGCCGUUGAAACUGGGGGCCUAGAGUGGGCGAGAAGAAGGCGGAAUGCGUGGUGGAGCGGUGAAAUGCAUAGAUAUCACGCAGAACCCCGAUUGCGAAGGCAGCCUUCCGGCGCGCAACUGACGCUCAUGCACGAAAGCGUGGGUAGCGAACAGGAUUAGAUACCCCAGUAGUC
rnacentral:rRNA from 1 species